CCUACGGGAGGCAGCAGUAGGGAAUCUUUCACAAUGGGUGAAAGCCUGAUGGAGCAACGCCGCGUGCAGGAUGAAGGCCUUCGGGUUGUAAACUGCUUUUAUAAGCGAGAAAUAUGAUGGUAACUUAUGAAUAAGGAUCGGCUAACUACGUGCCAGCAGCCGCGGUCAUACGUAGGAUCCGAGCAUUAUCCGGAGUGACUGGGUGUAAAGAGUUGCGUAGGUGGCCUAAUAAGUAGCUAGUGAAAUCUGGUGGCUCAACCAUUCAGACUAUUAGCUAAACUGUUAAGCUCGAGACCGUUAGGGGUAAGUGGAAUUUCUAGUGUAGGAGUGAAAUCCGUAGAUAUUAGAAGGAACACCAAUAGCGUAGGCAGGUUGCUGGGACGGUUCUGACACUAAGGCACGAAAGCGUAGGGAGCAAACGGGAUUAGAUACCCCAGUAGUC
rnacentral:rRNA from 1 species